CCCCGUCACUCCACACUCUGUCACUCCACACUCCGUCACUCUGUCACUCCACACUCUGUCACUCCACACUCUGUCACUCUGUCACUCCACACUCUGUCACUCUGUCACUCUGUCACUCCACACUCUGUCACUCUGUCACUCUGUCACUCUGUCACUCCACACUCUGUCACUCCACACUCUGUCACUCUGUCACUCUGUCACUCCACACUCUGUCACUCUGUCACUCCACACUCUGUCACUCUGUCACUCCACACUCUGUCACUCCGUCACUCUGUCACUCCACACUCUGUCACUCCACACUCUGUCACUCCGUCACUCUGUCACUCCACACUCUGUCACUCCACACUCUGUCACUCUGUCACUCUGUCACUCCACACUCUGUCACUCUGUCACUCCGUCACUCCACACUCUGUCACUCCACACUCCGUCACUCUGUCACUCCACACUCUGUCACUCCACACUCUGUCACUCUGUCACUCCACACUCUGUCACUCUGUCACUCUGUCACUCCACACUCUGUCACUCUGUCACUCACACUCUGUCACUCCACACUCUCUGUCACUCUGUCACUCCACACUACCGUCACUCUGU
rnacentral:lncRNA from 1 species